rnacentral:rRNA from 1 species
UACGAAGGGAGCUAGCGUUGUUCGGAAUCACUGGGCGUAAAGCGCACGUAGGCGGAUUUGUCAGUCAGGGGUGAAAUCCCGGGGCUCAACCUCGGAACUGCCUUUGAUACAGCAAGUCUUGAGUUCGAGAGAGGUGGGUGGAAUUCCUAGUGUAGAGGUGAAAUUCGUAGAUAUUAGGAAGAACACCGAUGGCGAAGGCAGGUCUCUGGGCCACUACUGACGCUGAGAAGCGAAAGCGUGGGGAGCGAACAGG